CAUCCCCUCAAAACUAUUGGACAAGCAACUAUGAAGUUGAAGACAAUACAACACAAAGAAUGGCCAUGAAAAACCCAAAUAAAAAAUAAUAAUAUUGGGUUUUCUCCUUUAUGACCUUUAUCUUCCUAUAUUAUGUACUAAUAUAAUAUGUAAUAUAUACUACAUUCCAAAUAUUUAUGCUAAAGUUAAAGUAGUGUCUAUGCACAUGAAUGCCUCAUAUGUAGCUGGAACAUUGAACUAGAUAAGUUCCAUAUUUUCAAGUCUAUGUGACAGAUGAACUUCUGGACUGGCUCUUAAAGAUGGAAUGGUUGUUUUGUCUUCAAAUGUUCCAUUGUUGACUCUUGGUGAUGGAUUAAGAUGUUCAAGUGCCUGAAGUUGAAGUUUUGGUGGGUACUCUCUUACAUAACCAAUCCUAGGACCAACACCAGUAGUCCAUUUGCUUGACAAUGCCUUGUUAUUUUCCACAUUGGUAUCAAAGUUCCCCACAUUUUCUAUGUACUCAAAGUGAAGCUCCUCAACCACAGGUUUAUUGGGAGGUAUAAUAUCAUCAUCAACUGGAUGUUUCUGCAUGAGACAACAACAUAAAAAGGUUCAAGAUUCGACAAGUUGAUGAUGCUUGUUGAGAUAAGGCUUAAUUUUUUUAUGAAGAAUCGUGUCACAAGUUGAAUUUGUAAGGUUGAGUUAAACUCAAAGUACGAAACUAAUAAAGCUAGAGUGAAAGUUGAUGCUUCGACAUGAUUAUUCACCUUUACAUUUGUCAUAUUAUCCACAUGAUGUUCCUCCAAGAAGCGAAUGAAUUCCUUAAGAUUCUUCUCUGUUGGACGAUAGUGGCCACUAUAGGGCCAAAUAACCUGAAUAAAAUGUAAAUGAAGAUCAAUUCACAUGUAAAUGAAAUGAAAUGUGUAUCUCAAUUCCAUACAUGAAGAUCAAUUCCAUAACAUUCUGUCAUGUUGCUAAGAGAUUUCCUCUUUGUGUCUUUAAAUUUAAAAAAAAAAAAAAAAUUAUAAAAUUCUAUUUUAAGGAGGGGCAUGUCACAUGUGUGAGAAAAAGAAUGUAGCAUACAUGAAGUACUCCAUUGUGUGCAACAAUUCUUCCAGAUGCAAUGGUAGGAGCACCAGCUACAAAACUUGAGUGUUGAAAUUUGCCUUUUUCCUUCUGUCCAACAUACAAAACUCUAGACGAGCUAAGAACAAAAAUCCACUUAGAUCCGUCGGUUGUGUGUACAAGGUUAUUGCUUUGUUUGUAAACAAGCUUGCCUCCUUCCACAAUCACUUCAUAUGCUUCCCUCUCUAUCUGCAAAUUGCAAGCAUCAAUGUUGAAGUUGUUAAUACAACAUAAAAAUUUAGUGGCAAACUUUGAAAAUUAUAAAAUAGUUUGAUAGUCUGAAAUGCUCAUAUUAACUAGAGUUAUUGAAUGCAAUGUGGGUGAAUGAAAAAAUUUACAGGUCCAAGAUAGUUUAUUCGUUGCAUUUGCAAUUUCUUUCUUGAACAUAUGUCAAGAUUGACUUUUUUUCCAUCACCAAUAUCCAACCUUCAUGUGAGCAAAACAUGUAUUAAGACAUUACAAAAUAUGGAUCAAAAUUCAAAAGUUAUAUUCAAAUCCGUAUAUACUAGUGCUUGCUCAGUUAAUAUUUACCAGUAGAAAAAGGGUUGAGAACUCUGACACUUAAACCAUACAUCAUAAUAGAAAUGCAGAUUGUGUCCAUAGCGAUGACGAGGAUCAAUCUGCAAAAUAUAAGAAAGCAUUAGCCUCGGUAAGUUUAUUUUCUUGGAGUCCAAGAAACCAUAUGAUAAAGCAAUUACAAUGUAGAAGUAUGAGCUUACAGCUUCAAGCCAAUGUUUUCGAGCUAAUCUUUGCGCAUUAUCAUCUUUGGAUAAUCCUCUUCCCAUCUACCAACCAAAGAAAAAAGAACUUUAAUUUUCCAAAGAAGACUAAUAUGAACCUAAACAUUGAAGGAAGCAUAUAAAAUGUAACCCCUUAAGAGUGAGCAUGUUUGGAUUGACUUAUUUAAUCUUAUUUAUUGGUAUUAAUACUUGUGAGACUAUUUAGUAGAGUUUAUGAAAACAACUUACGGCAUGUUCUUAAGUUGUUUUUAGCUUACUUCCAUAAGCUCUUCAGAAUAGCUUAUGAAAACAGUUUAUUACUUAUAUGAAAACAGCUUGACUUCAUUUUAUCUUUUGGUAUAGAAAUAACAUAUAAAUCAACACUUAUAUGAUAAACGCUUAUGCUAUAAGCACUUAAUUAAACUAUGAUAUACCUUAGCAGCCAUUGUCCUUGCAGUUGCCCAUUUUGAAAUAGCUGAUUCAGAUUUAUCAGAGUCAAAAUGUGAUAUCAAGCACUUUUGAAAAGCAGAAGUUUCUGAACCCGUCCACCUGAAGCAGUGAACAAACUUAAGAAUCCAUUUUGGAAAGUACAAUAAGCAGCACUAAUCACUCACUCAUAACUUAAAUAUUGGAUUGCACUAACCAUAGCUCCUCGCAAACAACGGCCAAAUCUGCUAAAUAUCUUCGAAUCCUAUAACUCUUGUAAACUUUCUGCAGCUUUGUCGCAGCUAAAUCACGGUCAGAAUCAGUAAAUGGAGAAGAAAAUAACAUCACUACUUCUGGUUUUUUCGGUAACAAAGAGUCCUCAACUUCAUCUUCUGUAUCAGAAUUAUUCUGUACUAGAUAUUUGCAUGACAAUGCUACCUUCAAGCCUAUACACUCUUCUUCAAUAGUAGGCUUAUAGAAAGUAUUGAAAUUAAUGUCAUUGCUGAAUUUCACUUUGUUAUCUUGUUCCUUGCUUAUAGCUAACAUCACCAUUAAUUUCUACACAAGAAACAUAUCCAUAAGCUAAGUAAUUAACUAAUAUUGGAAACUUGCAAAGUAAAUAUAGAAAGUUGAGAGACAGGCUCACGUGGAAGUAAAAUUUCAGCUUCUUUAUAAUUUUCAUCUAUACACAUAAGUUUACUCUUUGAAAUAUAUAUACUGCAUAAGUUUGAAAGAGAUAUUAGCUUCAAAUAUGCAAAGAGAGACAUGUAUAUUGCAGAAAAUUGAGACCUUUUGGUAUUUGGCCUAUGUGAAUAUAAAACUAUAUAAGGAGAAUUAGUUGUGUUACUUGCAAAGAAAGUCCUAUAAAUUGAGUUAUUUGGAAUAGAAAACUAUAUAUUGAUUAUUAGAUUAAUUCAACAACCAAAGUUUUGCUAGAAAGGGCAUAUAGAAUCUUUCUUGACAUAAUCAUAAAAAUAAUAACUACCAAUCAAAAGACCACUUUUGUCAAAAUAUGAAAGGACCAUAGUAGUAUAGUACAUACAAUUAGAAUAUGGGUUUUUGGUACAAUUUUUUUUUUUUUUUAAUAUUUACAAUUUUUUUUUUGAAGGAAUAUUUACAAUUUUAUUGUUUUCAUUUUAUUUCCUUUCUCUUAUACAGUUUUUAAAAGAUGUGCCAUAAAAUACAAAUAAAGUCACACUUUUUUUUAUAUAACUACUAGCAAAAAUAAAUAAACAAGCUUGAACCAGUGAGAAUCUAAAUUUCAUCACUACUACAAAAAUACACCCCGGUCAUUAUUUAUUAUAAACAAAAAAUCACUUUUUAAGUUCAUUGAAUAAUUGAUGCAUAUGAUCUGAAUUAUUGAUCAGAUACAUCAGUUAUUCAAUGAACCUAAAACAUUAUUUUUCUCUUAUAAUAAUAAUUAGAUGGUGUAUAUUUUUAUAAAACGUACGUAACCCUAAUAAAAAUAUUACAAAUAAUUAUGUUUAUCCAUAUUUUUCUAUUGUAUUUUGAUGUAUGUAUAUUAUUUUAAAAUAUUUACUUUAAUAUCAUUAAUGAGUUUCUGUUUUAUGAUAUAUAUCAUAAAACAAAAACAAGUUAUAUCUAUGCACUACCUAUGUGUGUAUACACACGUAGUGCAUAUAUUUUUUUUUUUUGAGGGAACGUAGUGCAUAGAUAUAACUGGAGUACUUAAUUUUAAUGUGGUAUUUUUUCUCUCAAUUAAACCUUUUUUAGCUAUUGCAUUUUCGAUUUUAUCCUUUUUACAAUAUUAUUUAAAUAUUAGUUAAACUUCAUUGCAAUAAGAACGAUCUCACUGCUGCCCAAAAAUUUAACGUAAAGACAAUCUCACUGCAAUAUCACCAAUAUCAUUUAUAUCUUUAUUUUGGUCUUAUUUCCCUUUUUUUUAAUGGAAAUUUCUCAUUUUUUUAAGCAAAAUAGAGUACAAUAGUAUCUUGUGAAAGAUAUGACAUCCUAACUAUAUUGAUUAUUGACACCUAUCUCAUCCACCUAUUAUUUGCAACACUCUAGAAAUAUAAUUUAAUUUAUCAAAAAUACUUGAUUGUGGUAUAUGUAAUUUUUUUUUUAAUAUUAUUAGCAUAAAAAUAAAUAAAUUUAGUAUUAGAUGGAUAAAAUAAAUUUACAAUAAAACACAACAGAAAAUCAAACAACCAACAAUGUUAAUGUUUGUUUUUUCGACGGUAAUGAUGUGCGCGCAUGCACACACACAUAAAGUGCAUCUUACCUAGCUGCAUGUAUUUAUAUAAAAUGAAAAUUGCUUGUAUAAAUAAUCUCUUAUUAGAAAGUAGGUUGAUGAACUUACUCUUAUAUAGUCCCCAAGCUUAAUAUAUAAAGCAUUUUAAUAAGAGAUUAUAAACACAUGUAAUUAUGUAAGAUGCACUUACUCUUACUAUAAUCCCUUAUUAAUAAAAAUAACUUUAAUUUUAUUGAAAGUGCAUCUUCCUCUUGAUAAUGAUGUAGAAUAAAUAAUAUCACUUGAAAAAUGGGUUGAUGAACUUACCUUUAUAUUUCCUAAGCUUGAUAACGUGAGAAGGAGUAAAUUUGAGAGUUCACUAGACUUUGAAGUUAGAGCAGUGGCAGUGGCAGUGGCAGUUAUGAGUGAUACAUACGAAAUCUAACUAUAGUUUCAAUAAACAUCAAAACUGUUUCAUCCAAUUUUUGUUCCUUCAAUUGUUUAUGGUUUAUAUUUUCUUCUCUUAGUUAACACAAUUUCCUAAUAUUAAUGCUUCUUCACUAAGACUACUAUAUAUAUAAUUGUGUUUAUAGUGAAUAUUUAGUAUUAAUAACUAGUACUAAGGUAUGACAACCGAGGACACUCAC
rnacentral:lncRNA from 1 species